rnacentral:rRNA from 1 species
ACUCCUACGGGAGGCAGCAGUGGGGAAUAUUGCACAAUGGGCGAAAGCCUGAUGCAGCGACGCCGCGUGGGGGAUGAAGGCCUUCGGGUUGUAAACUCCUUUCGCUAGGGACGAAGCCUUCGGGUGACGGUACCUGCAGAAGAAGUACCGGCUAACUACGUGCCAGCAGCCGCGGUAAU